rnacentral:lncRNA from 1 species
UUGCUAGAGGAGAGAAGCCAGAGCCUGGAGGCCAAGUCCUUCAAACUCCAUUGCGACUCCUCCCGGCAGGGCGCGGCCUAAAGCCCACGGCGGAACGCUGGACUUAGACCAGGGAUGUCAGCAGGUCUGUCUGUCGGAGCAGAGGCUCUCCGGAAAAGGAAUACAGCUGGCAUCAAUCAGAUCCACAUCCCUGAGAGGACUGCAUCAACUCUUUUGGAAACUGUCUUCCCACCUUGAUGCCCUGCGCUGUGCAGCUUCUGAAAAUGGUGUGUCCUUAUGGCAACCUCUGUAUUUCUGUGUAAGAGAGGGUUUGGAUUUGGUUAUUUCAGUGCUGGGUGGCCCUUUCUCUGUCACACUCCCCAAAAAGUGAACCAAACCACACUCCAAGUUUAGCAAAAUGUGGACAACCAUCAGUAUCAUUUUUAUUGCAAAUUAGUUAACAAAAAAAGAUGAAAAAAAUACAUCAUUUUCAUUACCUACAGUUUUGCAUGUAGUUUUUUUUUUUUACGUUUCUUUUUUUUGUAAACUACACUUUAUUUUAUACAACACAGUAAGAAUCAACAUCUUAGGAUGCGUCUGGUCAUAUCUAUUAGGCAUGGCACAGACACUGCCCCCCAAAAGGCCAGAAAGAGCUGCCCUGAGGAGGUGGGCAACUGCCCCCGAAAGCCCCCAGCACACAGUGGCUGGAAAGGGACUUGGUGGGCAGCAGAUGGGCCAUCCUGGGUUGUGCUCUUAGGAGCUACUGGUUCGGCAGCUACAGGUCACAAGGUCUGGGUCACACUGAGCUAAGCCACAGUCUGACAGUCCUCAUCAGCUUGACACACGACACACUUGUUCCUUUAGAUUUUUUAAACAAAAUCCAUCUUUAAACAUGUAUUUACAGAUACUUAUUCUGCCACAGGCGUAUACUUGAUACUGCAAGAAUCUGCUGUGAGCACAGCCCUGAACCAGGAGGGGUGGCCCAGAAGCAGGCUCCACCCACAUUCCAGCACACUCAAGGCAUGUCCCCACCCAGGCCAGUUUGGGGAUCAGAGGCCACAUAGCUUCUGUUUUCUUGGAGUCUCAAUGCAGGCUACUCUGGCGAGUCCACAAUGCACAUUGGAGCCCUUUGGCAGUCAGGUGUUAGGAGCCCAGGCCCAGGCCGGGACAGUCCGUCUGUCCUCAGUUGGAUUUGGAUGAUGCUGUUUGGAGGGAUGCACAGAACAGUCCAGGCAGUGUUUUCUCUAGGAGGCACCACACCCUGCAUGGCUUACUGGCUCAAGUUGUCAGGAAGGGGACAGUGGGGCAGGGCAGGGGAGAAGUACUCCCAAGGCCCAUAAACACUACUACAGAACACUGGAGCCUGCAGACUCACGACUGGUACUGGGUAGUAGACUCUGCACAUGCUGAGGACACUUCUUCAAGUCCACACUGGUGGUUACAGAAAGUGUACAAACCACAUCAUCUGACUUGUUUCCUGUUUUAGAUACAAAACUAAUCCAUGAACCCAAGGUUCAAGGUCUGGGCGUGUUUCUAAACACAUCUGCAAAUCCCAGGUGACGCUGGGGGGAGGGGCAGUGAGUGUGGGGGAGGGGCAAUUCUGGCCAUGGCAGUUUCCAGCUUCCCUUCUCCUGUCACGUUCUUUUUUCUUUCUUUUCGAUUUUGGAAAGAAGCAAUCAAUAAAUAAACAGCAUUUACAAAUCAUGAAUCCUUGUUCAUAUUUUACAGACACACAGGGAACUUCACCCUGACCAGGAAAAUCAAGGCUCUGAGAACUAGUUUAUUUUCUUGGAACAGAUAUGUUUUUCCCUAGUGCCAUAGAAAACAAUACAUAUAAAUAAAAAGGCAGUGUUUCUGUGGAAAAUAAAAGUACAUAAAUAAAUACUAAAAAAAAAAAUGGAAAUUCUUGUCCUCUUAUUUUGUAUAAAAACAUUUUUUAAAAGGCUCCUUUGGUCGCCCCAGCAUCCUGAAGCACUGGAAAGGACUCCCAACAGGGCUUGGGAACGGAAGCUGGGGUCCUGCAUCCCACAUCUCUGUUUAUUUAAAUGCCUCUGGAAUGUGGGUGAUCUGGGACGGCAUGGUGGUGGGCGGGCUGGAGAUGCCCUCGGACCAAUCAGAGAUGUUGGAAUGCGGGGAGGAGCUGGACCACUGGUCAGGGGACUCAGGGGAUGGGGUGAGGAAGGGGUGCUCUGGCACCUGCAGCUGGUGGCUGGGGGUGUUGUCCACAGGGGAGGAGGAGUAACUGUGCUGGGAAGGAGGGGUCAGGAACUGGGUAGUGGUCAUGGGUGGGACCAUGGAGGAUGGCAGUGAUGUGGGCAGGGCCUGGCUUUCCUGGGGCAGAAUGGUGUGCACAGGCAGACUGCUGGGGCCCAGCGGUUGUACAUCUGCCUGACUGGGCUCCCCACUCAAGAAGCUCCGGCCCAGGUGCCCAUUGGCUGCCGAGCUCACACUGAGGUGUGGCUGUGAUGGUGGCUGCAGGUUCUGAGGCUGGAGCUGUAAGUUCUGUGGCUGCACCUGCUGGGUCUGCACCAGGUGAGGCUGUGUUGCCAGCCGUGUGUUGGGCAGGCCCUGGUAAAUAAUCGGGGACAAGGUAUUGGUGGAGAGGCUGCUGUGUAGUGGCCCCAUCAUGCUAUGCUGGAGGCCAGCUGCCUGUGUGCUCAGUGUGCCCGGCGUCACACCCGGCCGUAGUGGGUUGUACUGGCUGGGCACCAUGCCAUUCUGGAGCCGGGGAAGCCACUCACACUGGCCAUUCAAGCUUGCCGGUGCACCCACGGUGAAAUUCAUAGCCCCCGUGCCAUUGGUACUCAGCACUGUGCUGGCACUGGAGGCUACAGGCAGGUGGGAGAGGCGUGGCGGGGGUGGCUCAAAGGCCAACCGGCUACCUCCAGCCAGUGCUGCCAUCUCAGGCUUGGCUGCCACAUUCAAGUGGCUGAUGCCCAGGUGAGUGUCAGGCAUACCAGGCAGGUGGCUGAGAGGCAUGGAUGGAGACUGCUGGAAUGGGGAGGGGAGGAGGGGUGGCGAGGCCACAUCUGACAAGUAGCCAUGGGGUGACUCGAGGGAGUCCACAGGCGACAGCAUGCUCGAGCUGUCCAACAGGCAGCCCUUGCCAUCCUGGGACUUCUUCCUCCGUGCCUUGAGGUCCUUAGCUUCCUUGCUACCACAAGCCAGCCCUUUGGUGCUGGGCUUGCGGGCCUUCUUGCCCUGUGUGGCAGACUUGAGAUUGCCCAGGUAGCCAUUGGGCGAGCAGAGUGUGGGAGACAGAGUGGGUGUGCCACCCAGGGCAGUGCCAUGCAGCUGUGGGCUGCGCACCAGGUUGUACUCAUCCAAAAGCCGCACGAUAUCGUGGUGCAUACGCUCCUGUGCGAUGUCCCGCGGCAAUCGGUCCAUGUGAUCCGUGAUGUCCCGGUUGGCAAAGUGGUCCAGCAACACUUUGGCAGUCUCAUAGCUGCCCUCACGGGCGGCCAGGAACAGGGGAGUCUCC